GAAGCGUGGCGACACGUGCAGCUGACGAAUACUAAUCGAUCGAGGACUUAACCAA
rnacentral:rRNA from 2 species